rnacentral:rRNA from 1 species
GGGUAAGAACCUCACCUAUCUUGAUAUGUAGGUGGGGUUGUGAUAUAUUGUGCCCAGUGGGCCACUUUUGGUAAGCAGAACUGGCGCUGUGGGAUGAACCAAACGCAAUGUUACGGUGCCAAAAUUUACAACUCAUGCAGAUACCAUGAAAGGCGUUGCUUGCUUAAAACAGCAGGACGGUGGACAUGGAAGUCGUAAUCCGCUAAGGAGUGUGUAACAACUCACCUGCCGAAGCAACUAGCCCUUAAAAUGGAUGGCGCUUAAGUUGUAUACCUAUACAUUGCCGCUAAUGCAGAUGAUUUAUAUGAAAUUUCGGUUUCAUAUUAAAUUUUGAAGCAUUAGUGAGUAGGAGGGUACAAUGGUGUGCCUANAAGUGUUUGG